rnacentral:rRNA from 1 species
AACGAACGCUGGCGGCAGGCCUAACACAUGCAAGUCGAACGCUGUAGCAAUACAGAGUGGCAGACGGGUGAGUAACGCGUGGGAAUCUUCCCAGUGGUGCGGAAUAGCUCAGGGAAACUUGAGGUAAUACCGCAUAAGCCCUUAGGGGGAAAGAUUUAUCGCCAUUGGAUGGGCCCGCGUCGGAUUAGCUAGUUGGUGAGGUAAUGGCUCACCAAGGCAACGANCCGUAGCUGGUUUGAGAGAAUGACCGGCCACACUGGGACUGAGACACGGCCCAGACUCCUACGGGAGGCAGCAGUGGGGAAUCUUGCGCAAUGGGCGAAAGCCUGACGCAGCGACGCCGCGUGAGGGAUGACGG